AAAUUCACGUCUAGGCUUUACUUGUAAAUUGAAAUGUUAUGUACAGCUUUCUUUAGGGAAGUCAUUGAUAAUUACUCGAUUGUUUCUUCAUCUUAUUAGCAUACGAGUGUUAAAUAAAUUUGAAGGAUGAAUGUUCUUUGCCCCCAUCAAACUUGUGUCCUAUUUCCGUAUGCAAAUUAGUGGUGUGGUCCGGCCCAAAGAUUAGACAAGGUCAAUUUCCUCAUGCUAGUACAACUACUAAAAAAAAAAAAAAUUAGUUUCUUGCAAGGAUUUCAUGUGAAAUGAGAGAAUGCAGCAAACAUUCAACCUCAAUUCUCUCCCCCAAAACAUGUGAAAUUUGAGAAUAUUGUACCCCUCGAGUCUAUACACCUCAACUCUCUGCUUUUUUAAAUUCACGCUUUGAAAUUGUAGCCCAAAAUUAUCAAAUAUACACAACGUGACCAACAUACUGAGUCAUAGGGAGAUGGUCCUGUUGCCUCGUGAGUCGGUUUUCUCGACGGCUUCCCCCCCACUUUUGUUAAUCCAAUCCGCGCAAUCUAAAGCUGAUUUCUCUUGUUUAACCCUGUUUGACACUCUUUAAGUUCAUCAUUUUCCAUUUACUCAAACAAAUUCAUAUUCAGUAGAGAGGCAACUCAUUAAACAUGGCUCUUUGAAUAUAUGCCAUAAAAAUAUGGCAAUAAGAUUUGAUUAAAUAGGGGGUAACACUAUGAAAUAUAAAUUUAGCAAAAAUUAAACAUCCACCCAUCCCUCCUCCCUCAAUACCAUAACAUACGCCACGCUACAUCUACACGUCAAUUAAGUCUCGGUACGGGCAGACAUUUACAGUGGGCA